CUGACGCGAGCCCCGGCCAGGCAGCGGCCCCGCGAGACGGGAGACGGCGGCGGCUGCCCGGGGUGCUGCUGGUGCUGGAGGAACUGGUGCUGUCGCAGCUGCGAGGCCGUGGCUGCUGGUCGGACAGGACUCCCUCCAGAGGGACUCUCACUGCCGGACGACGGCAGGUGGCAAAGUUGCUCACGCCCCUGUUCACCGACAACUUUGAGGUGGGUUCUCAUUACUUAAACAGCCCCCUUCCACCACCCCUUAUUCCCUAUAUCGUGCUUCCAGUCCACAUCAGGUUCAGAAAUCGUCUUUCCCAACUUGAAACCUUCCCCUGGUCUUGUCUUCACCGAUGAGUAAGCUCCCUCCCUGCAAGGAGUAAGACUGGCUGCAAAUCAAGGCGAGGAAGGUUUAAUUAUAGCGAUGCUGAGUCUUCUGCUACAGAGACGCUUUUAUAUGACAUACCACUGGCUUCAGGACUUUGUAACUGCCGCGGGAAAAAAUGAUUUAAGGUUAAAAUCUGCAGAACAGGAGCUUCAUACUAAAGAGAUCUUUUAAAUUAGUUUUACAUUUCAAAUUCUUUUGUGCUCAUGUACAAGCAAUAAUUCACACUGGAAGGGAAUUGCAUUUUAUUAAGUUACUUUUUUUUUUUUUUUUAACAUUGCUAUUUGUUCUGCGUGGUAAUAUUCCAAAAUCUAGUAGUUGUUAUUCAGGUCAAAAUUAUAAUCUCCACCUUCCUGAUAAAAUAUGAAAAGGACACAUGCAAGUGUUCAUUUGAAAACUACUAAUAUGAAUUUGCUUGGUCCUUCUGUUUGCCAGAGUAUCAGUACUCAGCAGUACUAAUCAGUACUAAGAAAGCAUUGCAAAAAUAUCUCACCUACAGUAUUUUUAGAAAAACAUACAUUUUCUUCUAAUCAGUGUUCACCUACUUGUUAGACUGCUCUGAUUAGCUUCAUGAACAACUUCUACUUCCUCAAUCAGAAAAUUGUUCUUGCCAAUCCAUGACAGGUCUACAAUCAUUUUAAUCUUCCCUUUCCAUGACAGGUCUACAAUCAUUUUAAUCCUCAUAAAUUUUUGUCUGAACUUAAUUUUUCAUUAAUGCAAAAGUACACUUACGACAACUCUUUAAUGUAUUGAUGCACUUUUUUCUGUUCUCCAUCUUAAAAGUCAGCCUUCCUUUCUAAACAUACAGUGCUCCUUAAAUUAAGACUCACCCUCCAAACAUGUACAUACAAGAUUUUGUUUGGCAAAACUCCCAGCCUGUGUUUCUUUGAGUCAUGAGUUUAUAGAUAAUCCUGGUAACCACAACCAUCCCUUCAGGUCUCCUCUCCUGCCCUAAAAACUGUUAGCUUCAACAAAAAUACCCCAGAAAAUAAUAAAUUUAAAUAAAUAUUGUAAGUACCGCAAAAGAGCCAAAGUAGUACUUCCAUUGAAGGAAACUUGAACUUCAGUUCAUAUUUGUCAAGUUCUCGUGCUUUUUAUCCAGACAUCUAAGACCAUUUCCAAGCCAGACAUCUUAGAUGCUACCAUUUUCCCAGCUGUGUCAGUUUUGACAGCAUGUACAGGAGACAAAAAUGGGGCAAUGAAAAGAGAAAUACUCAAGUCAGAUAAGAGAGAAUUAUACCCAAAAGGUAACACUGGGGAUAAUUGCAAAAUGGAAUAUAGGCAUAUAGGAUGCAAUUCUGUGAAAAACUCAGAGAAGAGAAAUAACUUGGGAAGAGAAAUCCUUGUUAACCUCUAGACAGAUAUUGCAAGGGGACUGUAUUUCACAAUUGCUAGUUCCCUCUACCUAAAAAUUAGACAAAACUUCUGUGGUCAGUUGUGCUAUAAUUGCACAGAAUCACAGAACUGCCAUUUGAAAGGGCCUUCAUAAGAUUGUCCAAUCUAACCUCAAGUUCGUAAUGGGGUUAUCAUCAAUAUUAGAUCACAUCAGCUACAGCUUUCUCUGAAUCUCAAAACUCUUCAACAGAAAUUCAUCAGCCUUUUUGGAUGACCUGCUCUGAUGCUUCACCACAUCCCUAAUGAAGAAAAUUUUCCUAAUUUUCAAUCUGAACCUUCCAAUCAGGGGCCCUUGCCCCUCAUUAAACAGCACAGACAAGACCUUAAAUUUGCUGUCCUUUUCAACUAAUCUUCCCAUAGCUGCAGGCUGCCUUUAGAUUACCUCUUACCUCUUCCACACCAGACCCAGCAAGCUCUGUCCCCUCAAGCACUCAUCACUGGUCAUGUGCCCUUGGCCAUCCUGGUAGCCUCUUCUGGGUUCCCAGCAUUCCCAUUCAUCCACUGCCUGCAGUUACUUUGGCACAUAGUUUGCUUUAUUUAUGAUGAAAAGGGCACUGUUCAGCUGUUACCCACCCUACAGUCCACUAAAGCUCCCAGAUCCUUUCCAGUGGGCCAUAAUCUAGACAGUCACUUGCCAGCCUGUGCUUCAGGUUAUCCUGUCUGGGUGCCAAACUCUACAGUUCAACAUGGGGUCUGGUGCCAGCCCCUUCUGGUGAUGUAUGAUUUUCCACCUGCAAGCCAUCUUCUGUAAAACCAUUCUCUACCUGACAUUCAUCCAGCUGAGACUUCCUCAGUUUCAAAAUGACAACGUUUUGAGGGAUUAUUUUAAAAUCCUUACUAAAUUGAAGGUGUGUUACACCCACUGUUCUGUAUCCCAAACAGUCUUUUCAUAAUGGAACACAAUCGGGUCAAACACACAUUAUUUUAAACAUCUUUGGUAAAAAUUUGAGUAGUCUUAUCUAUCUUCCUGCUUUUAGAAAAUACAUUUAGAAGUGCACUUGCAGCAUUCCAGCAACACAUGUGAGACCAGUAAAUCUGUAGUAGUUCCAUUAUUUUUCUUGCCUUUCUUAAGAGUGGGUGUAACAGUGACCUUUUCCCAGCUGACGGGGAUUUCCCUUAAUUACCAUCACUUUCCACAGAUAACAACUGGCAGCCUCAUGGAUGCCCUUUGGUUUGACACUGGCAUUUCAUUUUGGCAAUGAACUUAUAUUUGAGUUUGGUAUUCCCCAUUCAAUCUCAUAUUUUCAGAGUUAGCCUAAUGUUUUAGACACCAAUUUCAAUUAGACAGGUAAUCAAAGCAUAUUAGCAUUUUAAAUAAAAACAAAUUGUCUCUGAGAAACACAGAAAGUACAGCGGAAGUACAAGGCCUGUACAAUAAAAUGUCAAUCCUUGCACAAGUAGAAGCUGAAGUACUGCAUUAGAAUUAAUUGUGAAAUCUACAUGAACUCUUUUUUUUUUUUGGUUUUUGUUGUUGGUUGACUGGUUUUUGUUGUUUUUUUGUUUUAUUAUUAUUUUUCUAUUUCUAGUGGAUUGUAUUUGUGUGGCUUUUUCUUGUGCAGGAACCUUACUGUACUUUCAUGCCAAUGAACUUCAUAAAAGUAGUCUCUUUUUUUAAUAACAGCAUUGGUGUAUUUCAUUUGAAUGCCCAUUUUACAGUAUUAAAGAUAAUGUGGUUCUGCAUUUACAAAGUGUUUUUCAAAAACUUUGUCAAAAAACCACAACUAGAAUAUUAGCAACCUUCUAUUUCACACAAAUAGAAUCUGAACCAUACGGCACAAGACAAGGCACAGUAAAAAGGCCAUGUAUAAAAUACAUGUAAAAAAGUAUAAAUAUGUUCAGAUACCCUUAAAUAUAUGUAUUUCAUUUCACCUACCAGUCUUUGUAUUUAAAUUAAAAAAAAAAAACAUUUAUAUUACCAGCUUUUUAUACACCAUCAUGCUACGACCAGGCAUAAACAACAUUUACACAAAAUAUUUAUACUUCCCUGCAAAAUACAAUAUAUAAAUGGGAGCUAGUGGUGUUAUCUAAAAAACAAAGAAACAGACCAAUAAAAAGAGAAGUGUAUAAUACUUUUUUGUCAGUAUUUUAUAUAUGAAGUCAACACAAGUUUUUUCUUACUUGCCUAGCUUAUUUCACACAGAAUCCUCAGAAGCACUAAGUAUGGUGAUGACUCAAUAGCAAUAGAACAGUCUACAUUUGAGAAUUGUAACUGAAAAUUAUUUUAAAAACUACCUUUCUUUCCAUUUUCCUAGAACGUACCUGAGCCUCCUCACAAAAAACUGGGAACUCCUUGGUGAGUUGAGGCUCAAAUAUUACUACCUCUCCAGCCACACCCAGCUUGAGAGCCUGGCCUUACCAGAGCUUCCUGUGUACAUGAUACAAAAAUGCACAAAGAUUCAUAAAAUAAAAUGUAGCAUUUUACCUUGUAAGAGAAUGCCAUUUUAUGUUAUUCUUAACCUUUCAAAUACUUUUUUAAAAGCAUGUCCUUGCUUUCAAGAAGUACUUAGAAUAAUAGAAAGAAUUUCUCUCAAAAAAUAACAAUUCCUUUUGCUUUUGUAGAUUUGUUUACAAAGGUUUUGAUAAUAUUUUCAAGGCUCUCUUCAGCUGAUGGUGCUAGUAUUCACAGUGCACUAGAUAAACUGCCGUAUCACUUACUCCUUCAGAACAGCACUACAAUUCUUAACAGACAAUUGUUACAGUAUUGCACUAAAAAUAAGUAGUUCUGACAUUCAGAAAAAUAAUGGGGAUCCUCUUAUUUUUUACCUUCAUUUUCUGGCAUAAUAAUGACACACAGUACUUUUGGCCAAAAAUAUAAGGGAAAUAUAUUACCUAACUGCAAUAGAAAAAAAAUAAAAAUUGAGAUGAAAACAUAUCAUUGAAGGAGACAACAGUAUAUUAAGGCAAUAACCAGUAUAAGUUUAAAAUUGAUUAGAAAGAAAUCAUUCAGCUAUUUAAUUAAGAAGCUAACAGUAUCCCCCAACUUCAUGUCAGAGAAGAUCCUUUUUUAAUAGUUUACAGACCUUAUAAAUGGUGGUAAAAUAAGAGGAAAUAACUUGCAUCAUCUCUACAACAAAAGAAACAAUGGUAAUACCUGAACAUAGAUGACUACAUUUUGUUUGGUGGAAUUCACCACUGACUUCAGCAUUGAUAUUAGUCCUGUUGUAUUUCAGUGCAAUUGCACUUAAGAAACUGUACCAUAUUUUACAUAUUCACUGAGGUCUUUUAAGUCCAAUAAGAUUGAAUUUCAGAUACAGUGCAGAGUCACUAGCUGUUCAUAUAAAUUUUUGUAUCACAUCUGACUCAUAAGACAGAAGCACAUUCCUGCUGCUAGCAAUGUAAAAGGAAUUCAGCAGAUCAUCAUUCUGUAACAGAAUGAUGAUCUUUCAACAGAAAGCAUGAAUUAUUAAAAAGAAAAAAAUGAGUGUUUUCAAAAUUAGAGGACUGAAUAAAUAUAGAAUAUUUUAUUAGUUGAGUGACAUCAAAUGCUAGAAAAAGAAAAUAUUGUAAUAAUAUACCCAUAUAGGUAUCACGCAAUCUGUUUGUAGAAUGUUUUUUACAUUACACAAACUUCUUUGACAUUGCAAAUAAGGGACAGUAAAACUAAGACAUUCAAUAUGUAUUCUGAAAUACUACUGCAGAAAGAAAUUAACAACCAAUAGUCUUUUUUUGUUGAGUGCCUUUUGUAAAUAAUGGAACAACUCCAUAAUCUAAUUCUACUGAAAUUACUAUUAACAUGAUAAAGAGGGGAUUAAUCUAACUUAAUUAAUUAAGUUUGAUUCUUUAUAUGAAUUAAGAAGACAGUUUUUCCAGUUUAUGAAAGAUAUUUCUGCAGGUAGUUCCAUGGGGAUUUAUUUUUGAUAUAUUUUUAAGUGAGGACUAAUACUUUCCAUUUUUGAAAAAAAAAUAAAAACAACAUUGCAAUCUGAUUAGCUAUCUUAUCUGCUGUCUUCUAUACAUAAGUAUAAUUAAAGUGCUUAAUUUAUUACUCUA